ACCUACAAGCGGUGGAUC
rnacentral:rRNA from 1 species